UACGGAGGGGGCAAGCGUUAUUCGGAAUUAUUGGGCGUAAAGGGCUCGUAGGCGGCCAACUAAGUCAGACGUGAAAUCCCCAGGCUCAACCUGGGAACUGCGUCUGAUACUGGAUGGCUUGAAUCCGGGAGAGGGAUGCAGAAUUCCAGGUGUAGCGGUGAAAUGCGUAGAUAUCUGGAGGAAUACCGGUGGCGAAGGCGGCAUCCUGGACCGGCAUUGACGCUGAGGAGCGAAAGCCAGGGGAGCAAACGGG
rnacentral:rRNA from 1 species